rnacentral:rRNA from 1 species
UACAGAGGUGGCAAGCGUUGUUCGGAAUUACUGGGCGUAAAGGGCGCGUAGGCGGUUCGUUAAGUCCUGUGUGAAAUCCCUCGGCUCACCCGAGGACCUGCAUCCCAAACUGCCAGUCUUGAGUAUGGGAGAGGAUGAGGGAAUUCCUGGUGUAGCGGUGAGAUGCGUAGAUAUCAGGAGGAACACCGGUGGCGAAGGCGCUCAUCUGGCCCAAUACUGACGCUGAGGCGCGAAAGCUAGGGGAGCAAACGGG